UUUUUUUUUCUUGUCUUUGAAGACCAGGACUAUUUGGAUGUUGAUCAUUAUGACUAUUUGCAACCUAGUACUCCAAACCUUGAAGAUGGAUACAAGCAACAAGGCUUGGAUGACGGUAAAGACACAGACUAUCAGGAAAUUGAUAACUAUGACCAUUGUCGCCAUGAUACUGCUGCAUACAAAGAAUAUAAAAGAAUAUAUGAGACCUUAAAGACAGAUGAAUUCGAGGAUGUUUCCAAGGGACCUUCUGCUUUGUCUGCUGACGUUGGCAUAGAGACAAACAAAGCAGUACAGGAUGAUGAAGGUAAAGACACAGACUUUCAGGAAGUUCAUUAUUAUGACCAUUUUCGCCAUGAUGCUGCUGCAUACAAAGAAGAUAAAAGAAUAUAUGAGGCCUUAAAGACAGAUGAAUUCAAAGAUGUUUCCAAGGAACCUUCUGCUUUGUCUGCUGACGUUGGCAUAGAGACAAACAAAGCAGUACAGGAUGAUGAAGAUUUUGAUGAACAAAAGAAAUCUAGGGAAAAUGAUUAUGUCUGGUCUGAAUAAAGCAUGGUUCCAAGUUUUUAUAUUAACAUAGCCUAAACAAUAGGAACUGAUGAUUUUUGUGGCAACGUGACAUCAAAAGCUCCACAUAACAUUCCACAUAUUUUUUUGUUUCCCAUAUGCCUAUCACUGUUUACAUAUGGUAUACAUUAGGAGUACAACAAAGGAAUAUUUUCUAAAAAGUUGUAGAACUUUAGUCUUAUUAGUCAAAUUUCAUUUUUUUACUUAGCUCAAAAGUUUAAUAAUCAUCAUAGCUUAGUAAGAGUGGCAGUCUGUAAAAUUGGAAGGUGGUCAAAAGCUUCGGCAGAUGUAUGAAAAGCUUAUACACCAUGGUGAAACUUAAUUUUAGACAAUUUAGGGAGAGAGAGAGAAUAUCUUAAAGGAUCAAAAUAGCUAUAUAUAAACAAGUACUAGGAAAAGUUGAAUAAUCAACAGAGCUAAUUUUAAAGAGACUGCAACCUCCUUCCUAAUUCACAUUACACAUAUACUUGCCAAUUCCUUCAUCAAUAUUAUUUUAAA